rnacentral:tRNA from 3 species
GCGGGCGUGGCGGAAUUGGCAGACGCGCUGGAUUUAGGUUCCAGUGCCGCAAGGCGUGUGGGUUCAAGUCCCUCCGCCCGCACCA